rnacentral:misc_RNA from 1 species
GAAUAGAAAGUGGCAUCCAAAAAUCGCAAAUUUGACCUAAAAAUUAGCUACAAGAAUUUGACCAAUACCAGCUUCCUCAAAGCUCGAUUACGGGAAGAAAGGCGAACAAAAGAGAGAGCCAGAGCGGGAGAGACAAACACAAACAGCCUAGCCAGUUACCGCUUAGGCGAAUUUUCGCAGCAAUGGGAAGUAAAGAGCGAGCCAAGGAAAGAAGAGAAAAGAGACGUCAAGAGAUUUCACUCCUCCGAACUAUUCCCUACUCCGAUCAUCAAAGGUGGUGGUCCUCAGAAACUGUUGCUGUGGUGACCGGUGCUAAUAGAGGAAUAGGAUUUGAGAUUGUAAGACAACUUGCAGACCAUGGAUUGACAGUUGUAUUGACAUCAAGAGAAAGUAG